CAAUAAGCGGAGGAAAAGAAACUAACAAGGAUUCCCCUAGUAACGGCGAGUGAAGAGGGAAAAGCUCAAAUUUAAAAUCUGGCGGCCUUCGGUCGUCCGAGUUGUAGUUUAGAGAGGUGUUUUCUGUGUCGGACCACACACAAGUCCUUUGGAAUAAGGCUUCAUAGAGGGUGAGAAUCCCGUACAUGGUGUGGACUACCGAUGCUCUGUGAUGCACCCUCAAAGAGUCGAGUUGUUUGGGAAUGCAGCUCAAAAUGGGUGGUAAAUUCCAUCUAAAGCUAAAUAUUGGGGAGAGACCGAUAGCGCACAAGUACCGUGAGGGAAAGGUGAAAAGCACUUUGGAAAGAGAGUUAAACAGUACGUGAAAUUGCUGAAAGGGAAACGCUUGAAGUCAGUCGCGUCUGCUCAGACUCAGCUGUGGUUCUCCACGGUGUACUUCUGGGUAGAUGGGCCAGCAUCAAUUUUGUUCGCCGUACAAAGGCAAGAGGAAUGUGGCAUUCUUCGGAGUGUGUUAUAGCCUCUUGUUGUAUGCGGUGGAUGGGAUUGAGGAUCGCAGCGUGCCGCAAGGCUGGGAUUCGUCCACACACGCGCUUCGGAUGCUGGCGUAAUGGCUUUAAACGACCCGUCUUGAA
rnacentral:rRNA from 1 species